rnacentral:tRNA from 1 species
GCCAGAGAAAGGUGAUUUCACAUCAUUCGUAAUGAUGGGGUCACGUGUUCGAGUCACGUAAGCGGCACCA